AUGACAAUUACCCUCCAUUCGUUAGAUGGAACAAAAAUGAUCCUGUGGCUAAAUGUGGUGUCCUUACUAGCAGUCCUCAGAGGUGUCCAGUCUGAGGUCCAGUUGGUGGAGUCUGGAGGGGAUGUGAGAAGGCCUGGAGAGUCCCUCAGUCUCUCCUGCCAAGCCUCCGGAUUCACCUUGAGCAGCUAUGGCAUGGACUGGGUGAGGCAGGCUCCAGGGAAAGGGCUGGAAUGGGUGGCUUACAUAAACUCUGCUUCCAGUACUUCCUACUCGGACAAAGUGAAGGGCUGCUUCACCAUCUCCAGGGACAACUCCAAAAGCCAACUCUAUCUGCAAAUGAACAGCCUGAAGCCAGAGGACACGGCAGUCUAUUACUGUAUGACAGACACAAGAGAGAGAGAAUAUUAUUAUUACUUUGAUGUAUGGGGCCACGGAACUACUGCCACAGUCACCACAGAACCCCCAAGUGCCCCUUCUCUUUUCCCACUCAUCCCAUCUGGGAACAACCCAGAGGGUUCAGACAUCAUCAUCGGAUGCCUCGCCAAGAAUUUUCUGCCAGAUGGGGUCACUUUCUCCUGGAAUAAUCCAAGCAACCAGAGUCUCAGUGCCGAUAGCUUCAAGAAAUUUCCAUCUAUUAGGAGUCCAGCUGGGUUAUACUCUGCAGCUUCCCAGGCUCAAGUCCCACUGGCCACGUGGAAUCGUUAUGAACCAUUCUACUGCAAAGCUGACCACCCAAAGGGCAACAAAGUGAUAGCAGUUAAAAAUCCAAUUGUACAACCCACUGAGCCUGAGAUGCUCAUUCGGGCACCAGUUCUUGCUGCGUUUUCAAGUGCCUUCCUAAAUUCCACUGUUACCUGUGAAAUAAGUAACCUCUGCUCUACAAAUGCUGAAGUCCAAUGGUUUAGGGAGAACACAGAACUCACCACUGACAUCACCACCAGCAAAGCCAUCCCAAAUGGUCGUGGUGGAUACACCAUCUGGAGCAAACUUGUUAUCACCAAGGAAGACUGGUUUUCUGAGAAAGUGUUUGCCUGUCAAGUGAAAAGCGGGUCAUACAUUGGAAAACAGGAGUUCAGCAUGCCUUCUUUUUGCAAAGGUACUCCCUCAGGGUGUGACAGUGUUUAUGUGGAAACCAUCCCCCCAACUUUUGCCGAUAUGUACCAGACCGGCUCAGCCAACCUGACUUGCAGAAUCUCCAAUAUACCUAUUGGUCAGGACACUUCAGCCUUGAAUGUCACCUGGACACGAGCAUCAGACCACAAGCAACUGCCUACUGUCCUGGGGAACUUACAGGCCCAGAGAAAUGACCUGUACUAUGUUGAUGCUGUAGCCACAAUGUGUGCAACAGAAUGGAAGGAGGGUGAAACCUUUACCUGCAAAACUACAUUUGAAGGCGUAUUUGUCAAACCAGUAGAAAAAACCCUCAAGAAGCAGAGUGGUGUCAAAAGAAAACCUCCUUCUGUCUACGUCAUUCCACCUCCAUCAGAACAACUGGCUUUGCGGGAAACAGCCACCGUUACAUGCCUCCAGAAAAGUUUCGCUCCUAGCGACAUCUUUGUGCGAUGGAUCCAUAAUGACCAGCCAGUCAGUGAAUCAGAGUACUACACCAGCCAACCCAUACAAGAGUCCAAGACAUCCAACCUGUACUCUUCCUACAGCAUGUUGACCAUCAGCGAAGAGCAAUGGAAUUCUGGAGAUACUUUCACUUGCUUGGUGGGACAUGAAGCCUUGCCCUACGAGACAGUUCAGAAGACCAUAGACAAGAACACGGGUUACUUAGAUGGAAUUGUGGACUCUGAGGAUGAAGAAGAAUUCCAGAACCUCUCAUCAAUUCUUUCCACCUUCAUCAUUCUUUUCCUAGUGAGCCUCUUCUACAGUGCCACUGUGACGGUCAUCAAGGUGAAAUAGAAAGACAGAGGCUGGUCCAACCCAAAUGGCUCCACAUUCGUUGACCUACUUUUUUUAUUUAGGACCUUUCCAUCUACUUCAGUGAAAGGAGAAAGGAUUUAUUUGAGAGGGAUGUCAUUUUUACCUUGCUUUGUAUCAUAGCCGUAAGAUUCCAUAUGAGCUGAAGCAGCCCAGUUAUUUACAGUUUAGAUCCAUGGUGAAAUUUUGCUUCACUUUGUUGUGUUAUAUUCUGUGUGACAUAUAUCUUUGUGGAUACUUCCUUGUGUCUCGGUUAUACUCAUUUUUUUAUCAUUAUUAUGAUUUUAGCCAGAAUGGUCUGCCUGAUCUAAUACCUAAAAGAGCCUUACUGCACUUUUAUCUUCAUAUGAAACAGACAGGGGAUCUCUCACAAUCUGUACUGACCAGAAUGUUCAUCUUUUUUAAUUGAGAUUGCCAUACAAUGCUGUAAUAAAUAUCUAUUCUUGAUUAA